rnacentral:rRNA from 1 species
CAAUAGCGUAUAUUAAAGUUGUUGCGGUUAAAAAGCUCGUAGUUGGAUUUCUGCUGAGAACGACCGGUCCGCCCUUUGGGUGUGUAUCUGGCUCUUUCUUGGCAUCUUCUUGGUGAACGUUGCUGCACUUGACUGUGUGGAGCGCUACCCAGGACUUUUACUCUGAGGAAAUUAGAGUGUUUCAAGCAGGCAUACGCCUUGAAUACAUUAGCAUGGAAUAAUAAGAUAGGACCUCGGUUCUAUUUUGUUGGUUUCUAGAGCUGAGGUAAUGAUUAAUAGGGAUAGUUGGGGGCAUUCGUAUUUAACCGUCAGAGGUGAAAUUCUUGGAUUUGUUAAAGACGGACUACUGCGAAAGCAUUUGCCAAGGAUGUUUUCAUUGA